AUUGUACUCCCUCUGUCUAAAAAUACUUGUUAUAGAAUGAAUGUAUCUAGAUGUAUUUUAGUUUCAGACACAUUCAUUUUUAUUCAUUUAUGUGACAAGUAAUUCCGAACGGAUGGAGUACUCC
rnacentral:pre_miRNA from 1 species